CUCAAGAUACAAAAUUUUGUUAUUUUUUGUACUUAUUUUUCGUUUUUAAUUAUUUGUUCCGAUUCUAAGGUUAUAUAUUUCGACUAACAUCACCGCUAGAUCUGUGAUUCAGCCUAGUGCCUUAUUCACUUGAUGUUUUAGUAUUAUUCUUUUCUAAUCGGAAGAAAAGUUGUUUACAUUGGUGUUGUUACUUUCCUCCUUUAUUGACAAAUAGAAUCUCUUUUCUUGUUCCUAAAACUGGUCAGGUAUCACCUUCUAAAAUCUUGAAAAGAAGAGAUUGAAAGUCCAUGAUUGAGAAGUUGUUGUUGAUGCUUCUCGAUCAAGAUUAUCGAGUUAGAUUAUGCUUUGCUUAAUGGGUUGGUGUGAUUUUCCAAACUUGGGAUGGUCAUUCUGAACUGUUCCAGGACAUAUGGUACAAUGCUUAGUUUUUAUUUUUAAUGCACUAUUACCUUUUUUAAGUAUGUCGAAAACUAACGCUUGGCCAGAAAUAACCAUCCAUAUAAAUCUCAAGUGAAAUAGCAUGGUUAUUAGUUUAUCACA